UACGGGGGGGGGCUAGCGUUGUUCGGAAUUACUGGGCGUAAAGGGCGCGUAGGCGGUCUGCUAAGUUGGAUGUGAAAACUCUGGGCUUAACCCAGAGCCUGCAUUCAAUACUGACAGGCUAGAGUUCUGGAGGGGAUAGCGGAAUUCCUGGUGUAGCGGUGAAAUGCGUAGAUAUCAGGAGGAACACCGGUGGCGAAGGCGGCUAUCUGGACAGAGUCUGACGCUGAAGGCGCGAAAGCUAGGGGAGCAAACAGG
rnacentral:rRNA from 1 species